rnacentral:lncRNA from 7 species
UCUAGGCGCCACAAUAUUACCUAUCAGGGCAGCAUAGCAGAGCUGAAAUCUCUGUGAAGAAGAGGAUUUACCCUAAGGAGAAGAGAAAAUGGAGUCAGAAGUCAGAGUGAAGGAAAGCAUUGAAAGUGAGUGACAACAGAAAACAGUAACUUUCAUCAAAUUGCUUUUGCAUCUGGCGCCUGUCUUCUACGUUGCCAAAUAUAUGCACUCCUGCAUGAUGGAGCGUGGGAGGGCUGUGAUUAGUCUCAGGAAGAGAGGGGCAGAUGUCGGACAUUCUGCAGCAUUCAACACAAGUGAACAGCAUUUAGAAAAACAAGACACUUAUGUUGCCCCAGGAGAGCUCAUCUUUCAAGAAAAUAUGGGGUGCACGGAUCCAAGCUGCUAGACACUGGAGCAAGUUUCAUACAAGCGUGUCUGAGCUUCAGCAUUGUAUAGCAGAAGUUUUCUUCAGAAGGAGCCCAAGAAGAGUAUAUCCUCAACCUACACCUUUUUUUAGUUUGAAUUUCCUACGCUAUCUUUGAGAUGCCUUCAGCCAGAUGACUUCUCACUUCCACUAACCCUUUUUAUAGUUAAGUGACUGUAUGAGGUUUCACAGUACUACUCUAGAGGCUUACAAGUCAGUCUCAUGAGUUCGCCUACAGCUCCAGUUCUCUUGUAGCAAUCAUUUACUUCCAGAUUGGAAGAUCCAUACAAAAUGGAAAGUAUGUAUAGUAUGGAAAGUGGCUUGAGGAUGUGUUCAAUGACCAGCCUUCAAUAUAACUAAUCUUAUAAAAGGAAAUCUCAUCAGCAAGAUGUAUAAAAUGCUGGUGGGGAUUAACUACAAUAUCGAACCUAAGAAGAACUCAUAACUGUUGGAAGUAAUAACAACAGGGCUAUCGUUUGCAUAUUCUUUGCCAUACAACACACCAGUUGACAAACCCCCCUAAUAAAAGGCUCAGACCAAUUGGAGGAGAGGCAGUAACAAUCCAUACUGAUCUGACUGAAAUUUUUGUAAAUAGAUUAAGCAAUACAGGACACCAGAGAAAUGACUGAAAUAUUGCUAAAUGCCCCCUGAAAGUCAUUUAGCUUAGGCUCUGGUUGCAAACAAACUGGAUUAUGGAAGUGCUGUCAUCAAGAAAGAUUAUAUUAUGUUCAUACAGAUUUAUCAGGUGCAAUCAAGUCAAUCUCUAUUCAGGGAGAAACAAAGCACUCUGUUAAAAAUAAGUCCAUAUCAUAACAUUGUCCAGGGAAUAUUAUGGUUGAUAGUGAAUGUGAGCUGAAAAAAAUUCUCAGUCAUCUCUCUUAUUCACAGUAAAAAAAGAACGAACACUUUCUAAACAGUUGAGAUUCAUUGUUAGAUAGCAAGCCAUGAAAAUUGUAUGUCAGUAAGCAUUUUUUUCCCCCACGCAGAGUUUAGUUAAGAAAUGUAACAUACAGGGUAGUGUCUUUCUGCCAUAUAUUCAGUGCUUCUUGCUUAAGACAGGGAUCAACCUUCGCAUACGAUCCUGCAAAUAACACACAGCUGGAAAUCCAGAAAUGAAUGUAUGUCAUGCAACACCUACUGAUUAUCAAAAGGCUUGACUGUGGACUUCCAAGGAGCCACACUGAGACCUUGCAAGAUCUGACAGCUCUUCUUUCUAUGUUUCUAACACCUCAUUUGAACAUUUAAGCAAGUUUUAGCAACUGGGAUCAUCUGUCCAGCCUAUCCACUCAUCCCAUGUGCCUGUAAUCUGUCAUAAAUUCAGGUUUCAUUAUUGGCAGAAUUUAUGAGCUGGGAUUAUGUUGUCUUUGUAGAAGAGACUAGUAUGAUAACAAAGGAAUGGUUUUCUGAGACAAUAAAACUCUAAAAGUCACUCUAGAGACGUUUUGGAAAAUAAGAUCAAAGUUCUUUGAAAAUAAUCCCAUAAAACUACUGCAACUAAUACUACUUUAAGUAUCUGGUUUGCAAAGACAUUUGAGCAGUACACUGACAAACAUUGCAGUCCAUUUUCAAAUUGAUUUAGACACCAAAGGCAAAAGCUACAAACAAAAGUGGUAACUUGUGGUCCUCAGCAAGGGGAAGAGGGAUGAGGUCCUCAGAAAAGUGACCUGAAACCAAAUCUUUCCUACAACAGGAAGGCACUCCAACUUCCUUAC